rnacentral:rRNA from 1 species
UACGGAGGGGGCUAGCGUUGUUCGGAAUUACUGGGCGUAAAGCGCGCGUAGGCGGACCUGCAAGUCGGGGGGUGAAAGCCCGAGGCUCAACCUCGGAACUGCCUUCGAUACUGCGGGUCUCGAGUCCGGGAGAGGUGAGUGGAAUUCCUAGUGUAGAGGUGAAAUUCGUAGAUAUUAGGAAGAACACCAGUGGCGAAGGCGGCUCACUGGCCCGGUACUGACGCCUGAGGCG